rnacentral:rRNA from 1 species
UGGGGAAUUUUGGACAAUGGGGGAAACCCUGAUCCAGCCAUCCCGCGUGUUCGAUGAAGGCCUUCGGGUUGUAAAGCACUUUUGGCAGGAAAGAAACGUCAUGGGUUAAUACCCCGUGAAACUGACGGUACCUGCAGAAUAAGCACCGGCUAACUACGUGCCAGCAGCCGCGGUAAUACGUAGGGUGCAAGCGUUAAUCGGAAUUACUGGGCGUAAAGCGUGCGCAGGCGGUUCGGAAAGAAAGAUGUGAAAUCCCAGAGCUCAACUUUGGAACUGCAUUUUUAACUACCGGGCUAGAGUGUGUCAGAGGGAGGUGGAAUUCCGCGUGUAGCAGUGAAAUGCGUAGAUAUGCGGAGGAACACCGAUGGCGAAGGCAGCCUCCUGGGAUAACACUGACGCUCAUGCACGAAAGCGUGAGGAGCAAACAGG